rnacentral:rRNA from 1 species
GACGAACGCUGGCGGCGUGCUUAACACAUGCAAGUCGAACGGAAAGGCCCUGCUUUUGUGGGGUGCUCGUGUGGCGAACGGGUGAGUAACACGUUAGUAGCCUGCCCUUUACUUUGGGAUAACUUCAGGAAACUGGGGCUAAUACCGGAUAGGUGCUCCUGCUGCAUGGUGGGGGUUGGAAAGUUUCGGCGGGUGGGGAUGGACUCGCGGCUUAUCAGCUUGUUGGUGGGGUAGUGGCUUACCAAGGCUUUGACGGGUAGCCGGCCUGAGAGGGUGACCGGCCACAUGGGGACUGAGAUACGGCCCAGACUCCUACGGGAGGCAGCAGUGGGGAAUAUUGCACAAUGGGCGGAAGCCUGAUGCAGCAACGCCGCGUGCGGGAUGACGGGCUUCGGGUUGUAAACCGCUUUCGCCUGUGACGAAGCGUGAGUGACGGUAAUGGGUAAAGAAGCACCGGCUAACCACGUG